AACGCACAUUGCGCCCGGUGGUAUUCCGCCGGGCAUGCCUGUUCGAGCGUCAUUUAAACCAAUCCAGCCUCGUGCUUGGGUCUUGGGCUUUCGCCUCUGGGCGGGCCUCAAAAUCAGUGGCGGUGCCUUCUGGCUCUAAGCGUAGUAACAUUUCUCGCUAUAGAUGUCGGGUGGUAGCUUGCCAACAACCCCUAAUUUUUUAAGGUUGACCUCGGAUCAGGUAGGGAUACCCGCUGAACUUAA
rnacentral:misc_RNA from 1 species